rnacentral:rRNA from 1 species
UGGGGAAUUUUCGCAAUGGGCGCAAGCCUGACGAAGCAACGCCGCGUGGAGGAUGAAGGUCUUCGGAUUGUAAACUCCUGUCGACCGGGACGAAUGCACCCGACCUAAUACGUCGAAGUGUUGACGGUACCGGUGGAGGAAGCCACGGCUAACUCUGUGCCAGCAGCCGCGGUAAUACAGAGGUGGCAAGCGUUGUUCGGAAUUACUGGGCGUAAAGGGCGCGUAGGCGGCCUUAUAAGUCUCGUGUGAAAGCCCUCGGCUUAACUGAGGAUCUGCACGGGAUACUGUAGGGCUCGAGUUCGGGAGAGGAAAGCGGAAUUCCGGGUGUAGCGGUGAAAUGCGUAGAUAUCCGGAGGAACACCAGUGGCGAAGGCGGCUUUCUGGACCGACACUGACGCUGAGGCGCGAAAGCUAGGGGAGCAAACGGGAUUAGAUACCCUGGUAGUCCCUGAGCGGGCUGGCAAGGCGCAU